rnacentral:lncRNA from 1 species
AUUUUUGGACUAUAAUAGUGAGCCAUGCAGCCUGGGCCCUCCCAUCACAGACUUUAAAUCUAAUAAGGGAAAUAGAUCUGCAAAUACACAAUUUUAAUAUGGUUGGGUACUGCAUCGGAAGGCCCUCAGGAUGUCAUGCAUGAAAGGGCUCCAGGAGGAUAUGAUAUCAAACUGUGACUGAAGGGUGGAUAGCAUUCAGCCUGGUGAGAAAAGGUGAGCAUAAGAGAGUACUAAGCAAAGGACACAGUAUACACAAAUGCUUACAGACCAAAGAAAGCAUAGCGCCUUCAAGGUAUUUUGUGAUAAUGGACAUCCUUGCAUGCUGUUAGUAAUUUCAAACUUUGACCUAUAUGGGCAUGCAUAGAACCUGAGUAAUGAGCAAAAACGAAAGAACCUCAUAUUCUCAAAAAGAAUGUAUGAAAUAGCAUAAACAUUGCCAUGUGAAGGAGAACUUGACAAAAAAAAAAAAAACCAUGGAAUUGAAUUGCAUUAUAUUAAUUCAAUUAACUUCUGUUUUGUUUUUUGAGAGUCUCCCUCUGUCACCCAGGCUGGAGUGCAGUGGUGCAGUCAUAGCUCACCGUAACCUCGACCACCUGGGCUCAAGCUAUUCUCCUGCCUCAGCCUCCCAAGCAGCUGAAACUGUAAGUGCAUGCCACCGCACCCAGGUAAUUUUUUAUUUUUUAUUUUUUGGUAAAGACAGGUUCUUACUAUGUUGCCCAGGUUGAUCUGUAGCUCCGGGCCUCCAGUGAUCCCUCCUGGCCUCUCAAAGUGCUGGGAUUACAGGCAUGAGCCACUGCCCUAGCCCUAAUUCACUUAAGAAGUUUUAAACCUGUCCUAUUUGAUUAUUAUGAUGAAUUUCCUGGUUGAAAUUGCUCCCCUCCAACUGACUGCACAUUAUGCCCCAUGCUGACAUCUCUAAAGUAACACACAGGUUAUUUGACUCUGAUCCUCAGAGAAUCAAACUUUGUAUCUUGAUCUUCAACAUCCUUUAGAAGAAAGGAAUUUCCAGUUAAAGUGACAUAAAGAGGUUGGUGAUUCUUCCGAUAGAACUGUCAAAACUGUCAAAAACAACCAUUUUCUGGCACUAGAAAUUGACCAGGGCAGAAAAGUUGAAGCAUUUGUUCUUGAAAAACUGAUAGACCUCCAGGAAAGGACAGAUGACCUUGCCUAGGGAGCCCUUCUCACCUCCUAGUCCUUAAGGUGGAAAGGGAAGGUUUUCAAGAUGAUAUUGAGCACAAAGUCAGCAGCUUUGCUGCCAGGAGGGGUGCUCUCCUUGGAUCUGGAGGCAAAAAUCUGAAUUUGGGGGAUAAAGGUGACAGAUUUUUAUCUAAAUGGGAAAUAAUCCAAUCACAUAUUUUGUGUGAUAAAGAAAAUAUAGUAUAGACAUACAAUAUAAUACCACUAAGUAUAUAAAGGAACGAACUACUGAUACAAGCUGCAACAUAGGAAAACCUGAAAAAUGCCAUGCCAAAUGAAAGAAGCCACUCACAAACCACAUAUGUUAUGUGAAUCUAUGUAAAAUAUCGAGAAAGGGCAACACUGUAGAGACAGAAACUGAUUAGUUGUUUGCCUGGGGUGGGGGUCAAGGACUGACUGCAAAAAAAGACCUUAGGAAAUAUUUUGGGGUAGAUAGAACUGUUCUAAAACUGGAUUAUGGGAAUAUUUGCACAGCUGUAUACAUCUGCUAAAACUCACCAAACUUUAUACUUAAAGUAUUAAUUGUACAAGUUAUACUUUAAGUAUAAAGUGUACUUUUAACUCGAUAAAGCAAAAGUUGGUGCAUUUUAUAGUAUGCAAGUUAUACCUCAAUAAUGGUGUUAAAAAUUCUCCAAAAUCUUGCUUCAUGUACACAUCCAGACAACUUCCUGAGACCAUCCACCCUCCCUGCCAGGCAGAGACUUUGUCCAAGCUGACCUCCCUGCUGUGUCUCCUCUUCUUCUCCGGCAGCCACAGCACACUCAUCCUGUAAGCAGGUGGUACAGCCAGCAUGCUGCCCUGCUCUGCUGAGCUGAGCAUGGGUCUGCUUAUUCCCUAUGACACCACAGUAUUGAAGUUAUGUCAAUGAAUAAUCCUAAAUUGGCUUCUACAUGUUCAAGUGAUGAGUUGCGUGUCUCUCACUUUAAAUCAAAUGCCAGAAAUGACUGAACUUAGUGAGGAAGGCAUGCCAAAGGCUGAUAGGUCAAAGGCUAGGCCUUUGGUGCCAAAUAGCCAAACUGUGGCAAAGGAAAAGUUCUUGAAGAAAAUUAAAAGUGCUUAUCCACUGUACACACAAAUGAUAAGAAAGCCAAACAGCCUUAUUGAUGAUAUGGAGAAAGUUUGAGUGGUCUGAAUAGAAGAUCAAACCAGCCACAGCAUUCCCUUAAACCAAGGCCUAAUCCAGAGCAAGGCUUCAACUCUCUUCAAUUCUAUGAAGGCUAAAAGAGGUGAGAAAGCUGCAGAAAAAAAAAAAUGAAGCUAGCAGAAAUUGGUUCAUGAGGUUUAAGGGAAGGAACUAUCUUCAUAACAUAAAACUGCAAGGUGAAACAGCAAGUGCUGAUGGAUAAGCUGUAGCAAACUAUCCAGAAGACCUACUUAAGGACACUGAUGAAGGUGGCUACACUCUACAAUAGAUUUUCAGUGUAGAUGAAACAGCCUUCUAUUGGAAGAAGAUGCCAUCUAGGCCUUUCAGAGCUGAAGAAAAGUGAAUGUCUGGCUUCAAAGGAUAGGCUGACUUUCUUCUUAGGGUCUGUACAGCUGGUGACUUCAAGUUGAAGUCAAUGCUCAUUUGCCAUUCCAGAAAUCCUAAGGCCCUUAAGAAUUAUGCCAAAGCUACUCUGCCUGUGCUCUAUAAAUGGAAAAACAAAGCCUGGAUGACAGAACACUUGAUUAUAGCAUGGUUUACUGAAUAUUUUAAGUUCACUCUUGAGACCUACUGCUAAGAAAGAUUUCCUUUCAAAAUCUUACUACUCAUUCACAAUGCACCUCUUUACCCAAGAGCACUGUUGGAGAGGUACCAUGAGAUUCGUGUUGUUUUCAUGCCUGCUAACCUAACAUCCAUUCUGCAGCCCAUGGAUCAAGGAGUAAUUUAAACUGUAAGUCCUAUUAAGAAAUGCAUUUUGUAAGCCUAUAGCUGUCACAAACAGUGAUUCCUCUGAUGAAUGUGGGCAAAGACAGUUGAAAACCUGGAAGAGAUUCACCAUUCUGAAUGCCACUAAGAACAUUUGUGAUUCAUUGGAGAAGUUCAAAAUCUCAAUAUGAAUAGGAGUUUGGAAGAACUUAAUGCCAACCUUCAUGAAGGCCUUAGGGGGUUUAGGACUUCGGCAGAGGAAGUAACUGCAGAUGUGGUAGAAAUAGUAAAAGAAGUAUAAUUAGAAGUGGGGCUUGAAGAUGUGACUAAUGAAUUGUUGCAAUCUCAUGAUCUAACCUGAAUGGAUAUGAAGUUGCUUUUUACGGAUGAGCAAAGAAAGUCGUUUUUGAGAUAGAAUUUACUCCGGGUGAAGAUUAUGUGAACACUGUUGAAACAACAACAAAGGAUUUAUACUAUUACCUAAAUUUAAUUCAUAAAGUAACACCAAACAAAAUUUGAGAAGGUUGACUCCAAUUUUUAAAGAAGUUCUACUAUGGGUAAAAUGUAUUAAAUAGCAUCACAUGCUACAGAGAAAUGUUUUUGUGAAAGGAAGAGUCAACUGAUUGAAGAAGACAAUCGAGUUUCAUUGUCUUACUUUAAGAAAAUUGCCACAGCCACCCAACCUUCACCAGCCACCACCCUGAUCAGUCAACAGCCAUCAAUACUGUGGCAAAACCCUCAAGCAGAAAAGAGAUUAUGAUUAACUGAAGGCUCAGAUGACUGUUAGCAUUUUUUAGCAAU